CACGGGUCUGAUGGUCAGAACUGGUGUUUGGAGCCUCACCUGCAGCACAGCCUGAGGCCUGGAGCCUGGUUUCACUGUUGCAGGCGAACAAAUGGAAAAUGUGCAGCCUUUGGUAAAACAUCUACACGGGUCUGAUGGUCAGAACUGGUGUUUGGAGCCUCACCUGCAGCACAGCCUGAGGCCUGGAGCCUGGUUUCACUGGUAAGGAAUAUUUUGAGCAGCACAGCCUAAGGGGAGGGGCAGAAAUAAAGAGCUGAUUUCUCUGGUUUGUGCUGCCAUACCCUGGGUUUACAUUUCUGUGUUAACUCGGAUUUCUGAGAGCUGUAGUGCAGUGAGGGAGGUGGAGUUUUCCAACCUCUGGACGAGCAUCUCAUCCCCUUCUCCCAGGGAACAAGAGGAAACGGCCCCAGGUUGUGCAGGGGAGGUUUAGGCUGGAGACGAGGGGAAAUUUCCUCCCUGAAUGGGCUGCCGGGCUAGGGGUGGAGUCCCCAUGCCUGGGGGGAUUUCAAAGCCCUGUGGACGUGGCGCUGGGGACACCGAGCAGUGCUGGGGCUGGCUG
rnacentral:lncRNA from 12 species